CCUACGGGAGGCAGCAGUAGGGAAUAUUGCUCAAUGGGGGAAACCCUGAAGCAGCAACGCCGCGUGGAGGAUGAAGGUUUUCGGAUUGUAAACUCCUUUUGUUAGAGAAGAUAAUGACGGUAUCUAACGAAUAAGCACCGGCUAACUCCGUGCCAGCAGCCGCGGUAAUACGGAGGGUGCAAGCGUUACUCGGAAUCACUGGGCGUAAAGAGGGCGUAGGGGGGAUAGCAAGUCAGAUGUGAAAUCCUAUGGCUUAACCAUAGAACUGCAUUUGAAACUGUUAUUCUAGAGUAUGGGAGAGGUAGGUGGAAUUCUUGGUGUAGGGGUAAAAUCCGUAGAGAUCAAGAGGAAUACUCAUUGCGAAGGCGACCUGCUAGAACAUAACUGACGCUGAUGCGCGAAAGCGUGGGGAGCAAACAGGAUUAGAUACCCUUGUAGUC
rnacentral:rRNA from 1 species